rnacentral:rRNA from 1 species
UAGGGAAUAUUGCACAAUGGGGGAAACCCUGAUGCAGCGACGCCGCGUGAGUGAUGAAGGCCUUCGGGUCGUAAAGCUCUGUUGUACGGGAAGAAAAAAAUGACGGUACCGUAUAAGAAAGGAUCGGCUAACUUCGUGCCAGCAGCCGCGGUAAGACGAGGGAUCCUAGCGUUGUUCGGAAUCAUUGGGCGUAAAGAGUAUGUAGGCGGCCUUGUAAGUCAGUUGUGAAAGCCCCGGGCUCAACCCGGGAAGUGCAAUUGAUACUGCUUGGCUUGAAUGUGGAAGAGGGUAGUAGAAUUCCAGGUGUAGUGGUGAAAUACGUAGAUAUCUGGAGGAAUACCGGUGGCGAAGGCGGCUACCUGGUCCUACAUUGACGCUGAGAUACGAAAGCAUGGGGAGCAAACA